rnacentral:rRNA from 1 species
AGGACGAACGCUGGCGGCGUGCUUAACACAUGCAAGUCGAGCGGAAAGGCCCUUCGGGGUACUCGAGCGGCGAACGGGUGAGUAACACGUGAGUAAUCUGCCCCUAGCUCUGGGAUAGCUCCGGGAAACCGGGAUUAAUACCAGAUACGACCACUUUAGACAUCUUCUGUGGUGGAAAGAACUUCGGCUAGGGAUGAACUCGCGGCCUAUCAGCUUGUUGGUGAGGUAACGGCUCACCAAGGCGACGACGGGUAGCCGGCCUGAGAGGGCGACCGGCCACACUGGGACUGAGACACGGCCCAGACUCCUACGGGAGGCAGCAGUGGGGAAUAUUGCGCAAUGGGCGAAAGCCUGACGCAGCGACGCCGCGUGGGGAUGAAGGCCUUCGGGUUGUAAACCCUUUCAGCAGGGACGAAGCGAAGUGACGGUACCUGCAGAGAAGCGCCGGCUAACUACGUGCCAGCAGCCGC